UGCCAGCAGCCGCGGUAAUACGAAGGGACCUAGCGUAGUUCGGAAUUACUGGGCUUAAAGAGUUCGUAGGUGGUUAAAAAAGUUGGUGGUGAAAUCCCAGAGCUUAACUCUGGAACUGCCAUCAAAACUUUUUAGCUAGAGUAUGAUAGAGGAAAGCAGAAUUUCUAGUGUAGAGGUGAAAUUCGUAGAUAUUAGAAAGAAUACCAAUUGCGAAGGCAGCUUUCUGGAUCAUUACUGACGCUGAGGAACGAAAGCAUGGGUAGCAAAAGGGAUUAGAUA
rnacentral:rRNA from 1 species